ACUUCUCGAUCGAUGGCUUGUGCGGGGAUGCUUCAUUCAAAUAUUCUGCCUAUCAACUUUCGAUGGUAGGAUAGAGGCCUACCAUGGUUUCAACGGGUAACGGGGAAUAAAGGGUUCGAUUCCCGGAGAGGGAGCCUGAGAAACGGUACCACAUCCAAAAGGAAGGCAGCAGGGCGGCAAAUUACCAAUCCCGAACGGGAGGUAGUUGACAAUAAUAACAAUAUAGGGCUUCUAUUGGGUCUUAUAAUUGGAAUGAGUACAAUUUAAACCCUUAACGAGGAACAAUUUGGGAGGGCAAGUCUGGUGCCAGAG
rnacentral:rRNA from 1 species